rnacentral:rRNA from 1 species
AUUGAACGCUGGCGGCAUGCUUUACACAUGCAAGUCGAACGGCAGCGCGGGCUUCGGCCUGGCGGCGAGUGGCGAACGGGUGAGUAAUACAUCGGAACGUGCCCAGUAGUGGGGGAUAGCUCGGCGAAAGCCGGAUUAAUACCGCAUACGACCUGAGGGUGAAAGCGGGGGAUCUUCGGACCUCGCGCUAUUGGAGCGGCCGGUGGCAGAUUAGCUAGUUGGUGGGGUAAAGGCCUACCAAGGCGACGAUCUGUAGCUGGUCUGAGAGGACGACCAGCCACACUGGGACUGAGACACGGCCCAGACUCCUACGGGAGGCAGCAGUGGGGAAUUUUGGACAAAGGGCGAAAGCCUGAUCCAGCAAUGCCGCGUGUGUGAUGAAGGCCUUCGGGUUGUAAAGCACUUUUGGCGGGAACGAAAAGGACUGUGCCAAUACCACGGUUCGAUGACGGUACCCGCAGAAUAAGCACCGGCUAACUACGUG